UCCUGCCUCAGCCUCGCGAGUGCAGGAAUUACAGGUGUGUGCCACCAUGCCCGGCUGUGGCAUCUUAUUUUGACGAGGCAAUGAGCAAAUGCGUUCAUGCUUCUCUGAGGAGGUCGCAUUGGAGCUAAGACCCAAGCCUUGCCCUGUGGUGGGUAUCUCUGGCUGUUGGCCCAUUAAAACGUCAAUCAAUUUUGCUUCAAGAGGCCCCAGCAGAGGGACCGACCUGUGGGAUGUCAACUCCAGGACAGGAAGAGGCACUCUUGGCUUCACAGCUCUAUUCCCAACAUCCAGAAUAUCGCGUGGCACACAUUCACAUUCAGGAAAUAUUUGUUGAAUGAAUAAAUGUGAAACAGGAACCAGUGACAGAAUUAGCCCAUAGUCCAGGCACCAGCCAAGCUGCUUUCAGGAUCCGCGAUGUGAAUUUGAGUCCCGCCACCAGUAGAGGGAGCCCCUGCGCCCACCCACAAGCCAACCUGAGCCGUGAGCUACGUCAAACCUAUAUUUAGCAGAUGGAGAAUCCGAGGCUGUAGGGAGAAAGCACCUGGCCAAAGGCUGUAAACCAAUGGACAAGCGUGACUGGCGCCCCCUCGUGGCCAGGAAGUAUGAGCUCAGCCUUUCGAGUUUGCAUCUGAAAAAAGCCAGACACAGGGAGAAGACCGCCAUCUACAAGACAAGGGACACAGGACGCUACCAGAAGGAGGAGGAAGCGAAGAAGGGAUCCUCCUAGAGCUGUGGCCGGGGGCAGGCUGACAGUGAUUUCGAACAAGGAGAACAAGAUCUGGCGGCUUCGGGGUGGCAUGGCGUAGACUCAGGCCUGCAGGACUACGGGAUGAUGCGGUUCUGUGGCCCCCAGCUCCCCUCAUCGCGGGAUCGGUUACAGCGGCCCUAAGAAAUCACUGUCGAGACCUCGGAGUGGGGUGGCAUGGAGUCUUCACCCGGCAAGAAAGGUGAUCCUAAUGAACUUAUCCGGGGGCCGCGAGCACACUCUGGAUGUCGAGAGAUCAGAACAUCAGAUUGGAGCGAAGCGCGAAUCUGGGUUUGAACCUCAGCAUUAGCACCGCAAACGACCCAGCGUCUCCAAGACCCCGUCUGUGGAGUGGAAACAGCGGUGACAUCUGUCAGGAAGGACUGCUGCGAAUGUUCCGCAAAAGAACAUUUGUCUGGCAGUCGGCAGGGGCUGGAUGAACGGUGGCUACUGUUUUCUCUCCUGUGGGAUGUGCUGUACUCAAAGAGGAUCUCCUUCCAGAUCCAAUGAAUCGGCUAAUCUGCGAGUGUAUUCCCGAGACUUCAGCCGGGAAAACCAGGCACCCGAAUAGAGGCGCUCAUACAGGAGUUGUCCUGUAGGCAGCACAAAGCCAGCUAAGGAGAGCAGACCUGAGAGGAGGAACCCGCACAGAGACCAACAGCAGGCGAAGCCAGGCGAGCCUGGGGCAGGAACAGCCAGGGGCUGGCGUCUCUCAGGCCGCUGGGGUGCGAGGAGGUGGAGAAAUGCCCUGGUUGCUCCCGCCCACCUGCCAUCCCCUACGUCCCAUUGGCUGAGUUGCACAGAAAGUCACCUGAUUGGCCAGUCACAGGGGGCGGCUUCCCUAUAUCUAGACUGAGUCAAGGGCCACAUUGGAGGGCAAAGAGGGCCAGCCCCAGUGCUGCAGGAUGUGUGCUGUUUACUCUCUGGAGCCUCACAGUCCCACCUAGAAGGCUGGCACAAUAAUAGCAUCUAAUCAUAGAGUCAUUGAGUCCCCGACAGCCGGUGGACAGUAUGGAUGUGAAGGAAGAUUUGUGUAGAUACGGUGUGCAGGGCAAAAGAGGACAAGGGCGCAGGAAUAGGCUCAGUGUGGGUGCGGAACCUGUGUGUGUGAUAUUUUUAUCACAGAGACGCAUCCCUCUGUCCUGUCUCCGGGCUAAGACGGUGAGUCUGUGGCCUCCUUUUAGAAGCCCUGAGUCAGGCUGGCCACUCGGCAUUCAGGGUAGCUGGAAGUUUGGUCUCUGCUCCCACAGAAGUGUUUCAAAUCAUGCAGUUUUAGCAUCUCUGCCUCCAAUUACUGCUGCCAAACUUCCCUCACUUCCCCCAGCCUGGGGCUGAGCCAUUUCCAGGAUCUCUCUUUGUAUAAUUAAAAAGAAAAAUAGAACAGCUGAUGUUGCCAAACAUGUAUUUAAAGUGACACUCGAGUUCAGGGAGUGAAAAAUAAAAACGUUUAAGGUUUAGAUUAAAAGUC